UACGAGGGGGGCUAGCGUUGCUCGGAAUCACUGGGCGUAAAGCGCACGUAGGCGGACUCUUAAGUCGGGGGUGAAAGCCCAGGGCUCAACCCUGGAACUGCCUUCGAUACUGGGAGUCUUGAGUGUGGAAGAGGUUGGUGGAACUGCGAGUGUAGAGGUGAAAUUCGUAGAUAUUCGCAAGAACACCAGUGGCGAAGGCGGCCAACUGGUCCACUACUGACGCUGAGGUGCGAAAGCGUGGGGAGCAAACAGG
rnacentral:rRNA from 1 species